rnacentral:rRNA from 1 species
CUGGCUCAGGACGAACGCUGGCGGCGUGCCUAACACAUGCAAGUCGAACGGAGAACUCAAUAAGCUUGCUUAAAGAGUUCUUAGUGGCGGACGGGUGAGUAACGCGUGGAUAACCUACCUAGUAGACCGGGACAACCCUUGGAAACGAGGGCUAAUACCGGAUAAGCUUACAUCUUGGCAUCAAGGAGUAAGGAAAGAUGGCCUCUGAAGAUGCUAUCGUUAGUAGAUGGAUCCGCG